rnacentral:rRNA from 1 species
UACGUAGGGCGCAAGCGUUGUCCGGAAUUAUUGGGCGUAAAGAGCUCGUAGGCGGUGUGUCGCGUCGGCCGUGAAAACUUGGGGCUUAACUCUGAGCGUGCGGUCGAUACGGGCAUCACUUGAGUUCGGCAGGGGAGACUGGAAUUCCUGGUGUAGCGGUGAAAUGCGCAGAUAUCAGGAGGAACACCGGUGGCGAAGGCGGGUCUCUGGGGCCGAUACUGACGCUGAGGAGCGAAAGCGUGGGGAGCAAACAGG